GGAAAAUAGGCACCUAUAUAAGACAAAGCCCUGAAUAUCAGGACUGUCCCAGAGAUGAAAGUAAGCCAGUGUGUCUGGUGAUAAAGUGGCUGCUGGUAUGGGCCGGGACACAGCCAACCGUACUGGCAGGGCUGCUGAUGGGGUGUGAGGGGGCACAAAAGGGGCAGCUGCCCCGAGGCCUGGCAAUUUAAAAGGGCUGCCUGGGGGAGUCUGCCCGCAGCCCUGCCCCUUCCGUCCAAGACCCCGCCCCUUCCGGAGGCCCAGAGCCACCCCUCUACACACACACACCUUGCCCAGGACCCCAGCCACCCCACAUACCGAACGCCAGCAUUCUGCGGACAUCUAGUGUGUGAAGGGAUGCCUCCCUGUUGUCGGUAUGUGGCUUGGGAAAGAAUACAGUGUGGAGAGCUGAUCAGCACAGGUGACCAUGCAGUCCCGGAAUUGAAAAAGAGCUCCAGCAUGGACCGUACAGGAGACACUGGAGCUGAUCGCUGUAUGGGAAGAUGAAUCCAUGCUAUCAGAAGUCCGUUCCAAAAGACGGAAUGCCAAAACAUUUGAAAGAAAAUCUCCAAGGCCAUGAUGGACAGAGGCCAGAACAGGGAGUCAACACAGUGCCGCGUGAAACUUAAGGAGCUGAGACAAGUGUACCAGAGAGCCAAAGAAUCAAAUGGAUGGUCUGGGACAGAGCCCCAGACAUGCCACUUCUACGCUGAGCUGUAGGCAACUCUAGGGGGGCCCCCCACCACUACCCCACCCCUGUCCAUGGACUCUGAUGAUGAGGUACUCUCAGUCGCCAUGCCUGAGGAUUUUGCGGACAGGGAAGAUGAGGAGGAGGAGGAGGAGGUGGAGGUGGUUGAGGAGAGCACACAGCACACUGUUUUCCCCGACAGCCAGGAUCUUUUUCUCACUCUGACUGAAAUACCCUCCCAACCCGGUAUCCUAGACCAUGAAGCCAUAGAAGGGACCUCUGCUGCAAACUUUUCAAGUCUCCCUCCUCUGUCUGAAAGGCUAUCUCAGAUAAGGUGGUGAAAAAAACGUACGCAAGAUGAAAUCUUCUCUGAGCUCAAGCAGGCGUCCCGCACUGAAAGAGCUCAGCAGAAAGUGUGGAGGGACACAAUAGCACAGGACAGGAAAGCAGCCAGUGAACGUGAGGAGAGGUGGCAUCAGGAAGAUCAGAGAAGACAGGAUGCAAUGCUGGGGCUACUGCGGCAACAAAAGGACAUGAUCCGGCAUCUGGUGGACGUUCAGGAAUGUCAGCUGGAGAGACUGCUGCUGCAGCCCCUGUUUAACCACCCUCCCUCCUCCUCAAGUUCCAUAGCCGCCUCCUCACCCAGAUGCCCAAGAACCACGGGGGGGGGGUGGGGGAGGAGGGAAGCUCCAGGCACCCAACCACUCCACCUCAGUGGACAGAAGGCUGUCAUUCAACAAGUAUUGAAGUGGCCUUUUCCUUCCCUCCUCCCACACCCCACCCAGGCUACCUUGGGAGUUCUCUCCCUAUUUUUAUAAUCAAUUAAUAAAGAAUAAAUGGCUUUUAAAUGAUAGUGACUUUAUUUUCAAGCUGU